rnacentral:rRNA from 1 species
AUGCUCACCGUAGAACGUAUUGAAAAUGUGGAUAAAAAGAUCCACGAUCAUGCUAAUCUAAUUGGGUCGAGGGUAGGAGAUACUCUCAAGUUACUAAAAGAGAGACCCAUUGUUAACAAAAGGGUAGAGGAGAGCCCUGCUUGGAUUGAUAAAUUGGAAGAAAUUUUUAGUAACUUGAGAUCAACUGUUUUUUCCAUUAAAACUAUUGAAAAAUUCCUACUAGUAACAAUUCCAAGUCUACACAUGUUCCUAAGAGCAAGGGUGUCACUUCUAGUAGCAACAAUGAAGAUCUUAAAAUGA